UACGUAGGGCGCAAGCGUUGUCCGGAAUUAUUGGGCGUAAAGAGCUCGUAGGCGGUUUGUCGCGUCUGCUGUGAAAACGCGAGGCUUAACCUCGCGCCUGCAGUGGGUACGGGCAGACUAGAGUGCGGUAGGGGAGACUGGAAUUCCUGGUGUAGCGGUGGAAUGCGCAGAUAUCAGGAGGAACACCGGUGGCGAAGGCGGGUCUCUGGGCCGUUACUGACGCUGAGGAGUGAAAGCAUGGGGAGCGAACAGG
rnacentral:rRNA from 1 species